UACGAGAGGCCCAAACGUUAUUCGGAAUUACUGGGCUUAAAGAGUUCGUAGGCGGCAUGAAAAGUAGGGUGUGAAAGCCCUCGGCUCAACCGAGGAAUUGCGCUCUAAACUGUCGUGCUCGAGGAACCUAGAGGUGAGCAGAACAGAUGGUGGAGCGGUGAAAUGCGUUGAUAUCAUUUGGAACGCCAAUGGUGAAAACAGCUCGCUGGGGGUGCACUGACACUGAGACACGAAAGCCAGGGGAGCGAACGGG
rnacentral:rRNA from 1 species